AGAACGUACAGACGAGAGAACCGGCAACAUGCAAGGCGGAAAGAAUGACAGUUGAUAAACAACACAAUUCGGAGGAAACGUACACUGGGUCCAUGUCAAGGUGCAAAGCAACCAUCGAUUCAAUGUCAAAAUCGAUGCAAUCCACGAAGAAUUCGCUCGGUUCGUUUGAGCAUAUACACAACAGUUUUAGUUAUCUUGCUUACUUAUCCGGAGUUACUACCUCUAUACGGACUCUUCUGUUUGUCAACUAGUUACUUUAAAAUGUUAUGUCUAAAUUGUUGUCUAUGGUGAAUCAGGUUUAAGCUUAAAAGCUAUUACAAUAGUGAAUUACUAUGAUGUUUCCAUCCCGGACACUGACUUCACUGGAUGUUUAUCGUGAUGAAAUACUGAUUCUAUCUUCCAAUGCAUUUCGUUUGUAAAUGUUGGGAAUGAAAAAGGACAGCACUCCGCAACCUAUCAGUGAAAUGCCCGAUAUCCAGAACGUUAGCUCGCACUGUGAAUCCAGCAGAAACCCGACAAUAUUCGCACCAACGACACUUCCCAAUCUUCCAAACAUUAGCGAAAUGCACACCGCCAUGGCACUGUAAAAGAAAAAGAAACAAUUGAGUGUGCUUCACAUGACAAAGAGCAUUGAGCUGUUCGCGAUCGCUUACCGCAAGUUAGUCGGGAAAAGGUCUACCGUGCAUGCAUUGACUACGCUGAUGCAGAACCCACAAGUUAGCAGGAUUACAUAGAACCAGAUGGCAAGCAAUGGUAGAUCUAUGAACACGAUGAGUAUCCCGCUAAUGCCGCAAACACCAAAUAUGAACACCAAGAUCGGAAGCUUGCCAACCGCAUUGAUAAUAAGUCCUAUUACGGCAAAGCCUAGCGCGUAAAUAGUUUCCAGCACGAACGAAUGCUCAUAGGCGGAAAUAUCCAGCUUUUGAUGGCACACUUCGGGCAGUGCUGUCGCAUUAACGUCAUGCUGCUGUAGCUGGCUUAUAUCGACCUGUGUAGCGUAGACCGCCUGACAAAUAGUCGUGCGGCCGACACCCUGAUCCUCCAGUUCGGCGAUGCGGUUCAAAAUGUCCGGAAAGAACAUGUACAUUCCGUUCGAUGUCAGAUAAAUGCCAAACUGUAGCACACAAAUGAUGGUGGUUCGCUUCAAGUACUGGCCCAUAAACAACGGUGCCGUUUGCUGCCACAUUUGUUUUAGCAGCCGUAGAACACUUUUAUUGUUGGCUGAUUCUUCGCGGCGAAUUUUGGUUUGCUGCGCUUCAGUCUCCUGUAGCAGCGAAGUAAGCGCCAGUUUGGGACCCUUACCGCCAGUGUUCCAUCGGUACAUUUUGUGCAUAAUCAUGAUUGUCUCCUGUUCAUACCCUCGGGAGAACAAAAACUUUGGACUCUCGGGAAAGUAAAGCAAUGCUAGCCCACAGACGAGACUGGGCAAUCCGCACACCACGAUAAACAGGCGCCAUGGCCUAUAGACAAUAUUGAGCAGGGGAAGGGUAUAUUCCCACUCCUGAUUAAUAACAGACCAUGCGAUCAGAGGCAGCAGAAUGCAGCCUACGCCGAACACAAAAGACGCUCCCAUUAUGGCACGGGAGCUGUUGGAUUUCGCGUGAAACUCUCCAAGGUAGGCGUAGAUCGUUGCCGAUGAGCCGGAAAUGCUGUAAAAAUUGUUAACCGU